rnacentral:rRNA from 1 species
CGCGUAGGCGGCCGAUCAAGUCGGGUGUGAAAGCCCGGGGCUCAACCCCGGAAUUGCACUCGAGACUGAUUGGCUUGAGGACGGGAGAGGAUGGUGGAAUUCCCAGUGUAGAGGUGAAAUUCGUAGAUAUUGGGAAGAACACCGGUGGCGAAGGCGGCCAUCUGGACCGUUUCUGACGCUGAGGCGCGAAAGCGUGGGGAGCAAACAGGAUUAGAUACCCUGGUAGUCCACGCCGUAAACGAUGAGUGCUAGACGUUGGGGGACCUAGUCCUUCGGUGUCGCAGCUAACGCAUUAAGCACUCCGCCUGGGGAGUACGGCCGCAAGGUUAAA